rnacentral:rRNA from 1 species
AUGUCUUGUUUCAAAUUGCCAAGAGGAUUGUGUGAGCACAUUAAUGGUCUACUCAGGAAGUUCUGGUGGCGUAGCAAACGAGGAGAGAGGAAAAUGGCUUGGGUGUCCUGGAAUACUAUGUGCAAACCCAAGUUUAUGGGAGGGAUGGGUUUCAGAGAUAUUGAACUCUUUAACCUAGCUUUGCUAGCCCGACAAGCUUGGCACCUUCUACAGGACCCUGAUUCUCUAAGCGCAAGGGUGCUCAAGUCACGGUACUAUCCACAAUGCAACAUCCUUGAGGCUUCACUGGGUAAUCAUCCUUCUCAGUGGCACUCUAUUAUGGAGGGUAAGGAGAUCCUAGCACUCGGAAUCAUCAAAAGAGUGGGAACAGGUGAGGACACGGGCAUCUGGAGCGAGAACUGGAUACCACGUGAUUAUAAAUUACGGCCAUUGUGUGCUAUGGGGGCUGAUCCACCACAAUAG